AAAACAGCAGGCCUAGAACCGGUAACUUGGCAACUAACUCUCAUACCUUAAAGUCCAGAUCCAUCCAAUUAUUCUCCAAUCUAUACAAAGGAAGAAUGAGAAAAAGUCCUAGAAUGCGGCUUCAACAGAGGUCUGGGAGGCCUUGGGUGGCUAGUUAAUGAAAAUGAGCAGUACUUCUUUCCCCCAACUGCAGCUUGUCAAGCCAUCAGGGAGGCUCAUCUUGGAACUCAGUAGGGAAGCAAAGCCCUUUAAAACUGGUUAUUUGAGAUCAGGGUAACUUCUGGAAUGAAACAUACAAUCAGUCUGGAGAGCUGAGACCAGCUCCAUCUGCACACAAACAACCCAACACCAGACCCCAUAUAAGGAGGCCCCCAGAUAAGGCCCAUUCAGACCAGAGAAACAUGUUCUGGGAAAGACUGGCGGAUUUCACUGUCAUGCCCAGAAUACCUGGCAAUUUCAGGCACCUCUUGGUGCUGGCAGACACAUUAUCUGGGUGGGACAGGAAAGUGUAUCCUGCUAGAAGUGAAACAGCAGCUCAAGUAGCUACAGGCACUACUAAAAGAAAUAAUCCCACCCCUGCCACCCUGGUCUGGGUUCCAGGAUCCUUGGAAAGUGAUAGUGGUCCAGCAUUUGUGUCUCAAGUGACUAAGUGAAUGAGUACCCUGGUCAUAAAGUGGACCUUGCACUCAGCUUGGAGACUCCAAUCUUUCGUGAAAGUUGAGGGAGCCAAUCAGACCUGAAAAUGAACCUCAGGUGGGCUGUGCCAGGAGACUCGGAAAAAUUAGAUGCAGCUGCUUCCAACUGCCCGGCUCGCAAGCAGCUAGCCCCAAACAGUCAGGUAAAGUUCAGUGUGUUAGAGCUCACAGAUAGAAAACCCAUUCCUCAAGCUUGAGACAAGGGACACCUGAGCCCCCCGAAAUGGAACAACUCAAACGUGCCCUCCAGGCCAGACAAACUCCAAAAGCUCUCAUGGAAUGUGGUGACCAGAAAACAAAACACAACCAAAGCUUGACCAGGAAGAGUCCACCGCGGCAGCAAGCCUCCACACCACAGCAGGCUUGCCUGCAGGCUGAAGACCGAGAGAGCUUCACUUUUAGGAAAAACCUGCGACCAUGUGCUGCUGCUAAUCUCUGGGCCACGCACUCUCAAUUGUCAGGCUUCCUUUGUCUCUCAGUAGACAAACUGAGGCCGCUCCGGGGAUAAACAGUCAGGGCCGAGGCCUACUGACCACCCUACAGGCCUGAAGGCAGCUAGGGCAAUUCUAGGGGCAUUCAAGGGGAGCUCUGCACCUCCACAGAAGAUGCCCUAAGCCCCGAGGGCCUCCUGACAGUGAGGAGCAGGACAACGAAAGACAAGCGGAGCCCUUUGUCACCCGCAAAGCCCGUGAACAAUUCCAAGGAAAUAAGUCUAACCUUUUUUCCUUAGGAUUUGGUCUGGUUUCACUUCCUCCACGGAGGGAGCUGCAGGCGCCUGACAGACGCCUUACUCCAGGCACUUCAGGCCAGACCUCCUACUGCAAAAUGGUGGGGCGACUUGCAGAGAUGUUGCCCACAAGGCACUGCGGGGG
ensembl:lncRNA